rnacentral:lncRNA from 1 species
CCUGUUGCCUCUAGCCAGAAGCCUCUCUUUGUGGGCAGAGUGAGUCUUGUUUCUUGUCAUUCACCACAACAGUUGUGCAAAAUCAACGCCAGCACCAGGGCCUCACAUCUCUCACCUGGUGGGAAUCUUUAAAUCUGCUCCACAUCCCUGCUGUUUUAACCUGGUCAGAAAAAAACCAAGGGGUUUUGUGCCACAUGAUUUGAGGACUGAAGGACAGAUGAAGAAUGUGCUAGUCAAAAUUUCAGCGCUUCAUAGCGAGGUAACGUCAUCUGCGUGGCUCUGUAGAGAUCCCAGGUUCACCAGCAGGUCUCACAGGUGUAACAAACAUAGAUCCUCUGAAGAUACACCACUGUCACAAGAGGAACACUAAUGUACAGUCUGCAUGCCGUGCUGUUUGUGGGCACCAGUUGGAAUGGCCCACUGCGUUCUGCUAGAAUGGAUUGCAUUCUGCAUUUCUGUUCUGUUUUCUAUUAUGUUGGUUUUAUUGAGAAAGUAAACCUUGUAACCUGAUUGUUGACAGAAAUAAAAUGUGAUUUCUCUUCUGAAAGACCUAAGUA